CAAUAGCGUAUAUUUAAGUUGUUGCAGUUAAAAAGCUCGUAGUUGGAUUUCGGAUGGGAUCUGCCGGUCCGUCAUUGAGAUGUGUACUGGUAGGUCCUAUCUUGUUGUCGGGGACCAGCUCCUGGGCUUCACUGUCCGGGACUGGGAGCCGACGAAGUUACUUUGAGUAAAUUAGAGUGUUCAAAGCAAGCCUACGCUCUGAAUAUAUUAGCAUGGAAUAACACGAUAGGACUCUGGCUUAUCUUGUUGGUCUGUGAGACCAGAGUAAUGAUUAAGAGGGACAGUCGGGGACAUUCGUAUUUCAUUGUCAGAGGUGAAAUUCUUGGAUUUAUGAAAGACGAACUUCUGCGAAAGCAUUUGUCAAGGAUGUUUUCAUUAA
rnacentral:rRNA from 1 species